CGAAGGGUGCAAGCGUUGCUCGGAAUUAUUGGGCGUAAAGGGUUGGUAGGUGGUUACGUAUGUCUGGGGUGAAAUCCCUGAGCUUAACUCAGGAAGUGCCUUGGAAACGGCGUAACUAGAGUGCUAGAGAGGUUCGUGGAAUUCCCAGUGUAGCGGUGAAAUGCGUAGAGAUUGGGAGGAACACCAGAGGCGAAGGCGGCGAACUGGAUAGCAACUGACACUGAACAACGAAAGCGUGGGUAGCAAACAGGAUUAGAUACCCUGGUAGUCCACGCCCUAAACGAUGAUGACUAGUUGUUGGAGGAGUUAAAUCCUUUAGUAACGCAGCUAACGCGUGAAGUCAUCCGCCUGGGGAGUACGGUCGCAAGAUUA
rnacentral:rRNA from 1 species